CCCUUCGGGGCGGCGGCCGGCCCUGGGUGGGAAAUCGCCCGGGAAAACGUCACUCGGGUGGGUGAUUGACGGCAACUGCCGCAGCACUGUGUGCUGUUCCGUGUCCGAAGCGUGAGCUUCCCAAACGUGAGUCGGCCCCCGUCGGUGCAACAACACCGAUGCGAGGGCCUGACCAUCAACGAGAGGCUAACCCCCCUCG
rnacentral:ncRNA from 1 species